UAAAUCAGUUAUCGUUUAUUUGAUAGUACCUUACUACUUGGAUAACCGUGGUAAUUCUAGAGCUAAUACAUGCUGAAAACCCCGACUUCGGGAGGGGUGUAUUUAUUAGAUAAAAAACCAACGCCCUUCGGGGCUUCUUGGUGAUUCAUGAUAACUUAACGAAUCGCAUGGCCUUGCGCCGGCGAUGGUUCAUUCAAAUUUCUGCCCUAUCAACUUUCGAUGGUAGGAUAGUGGCCUACCAUGGUAUCAACGGGUAACGGGGAAUUAGGGUUCUAUUCCGGAGAGGGAGCCUGAGAAACGGCUACCACAUCCAAGGAAGGCAGCAGGCGCGCAAAUUACCCAAUCCCGACACGGGGAGGUAGUGACAAUAAAUACUGAUACAGGGCUCUUUUGGGUCUUGUAAUUGGAAUGAGUACAAUUUAAAUCCCUUAACGAGGAACAAUUGGAGGGCAAGUCUGGUGCCAGCAGCCGCGGUAAUUCCAGCUCCAAUAGCGUAUAUUAAAGUUGUUGCAGUUAAAAAGCUCGUAGUUGAACCUUGGGCCUGGCUGGCCGGUCCGCCUCACCGCGUGCACUGGUCCGGCCGGGCCUUUCCUUCUGGGGAGCCGCAUGCCCUUCACUGGGUGUGUCGGGGAACCAGGACUUUUACUUUGAAAAAAUUAGAGUGUUCAAAGCAGGCCUUUGCUCGGAUACAUUAGCAUGGAAUAAUAGAAUAGGACGUGCGGUCCUAUUUUGUUGGUUUCUAGGACCGCCGUAAUGAUUAAUAGGGAUAGUCGGGGGCAUCAGUAUUCAAUUGUCAGAGGUGAAAUUCUUGGAUUUAUUGAAGACUAACUACUGCGAAAGCAUUUGCCAAGGAUGUUUUCAUUAAUCAGUGAACGAAAGUUAGGGGAUCGAAGACGAUCAGAUACCGUCGUAGUCUUAACCGUAAACUAUGCCGACUAGGGAUCGGGCGAUGUUAUCAUUUUGACUCGCUCGGCACCUUACGAGAAAUCAAA
rnacentral:rRNA from 1 species